CUCACAGUUUGGUGAGUGUUAGGUGUUCUAGUAGGUGUUCUGUGAUUUGGUCUUGCUCUGUUCUCAAUUAUUGACAGCAUGCUGAGGCAGACACCUCAUUAUGCGGAAAAAGAGGUAUGCCUUGAAGAAGAAUGCCCUGAAGGGUCUUCGCAGGCUACGAACAGAAGCAACUGCUCGGCUGUGCCACCUACCACGCCUUCAAUGCCCACCGGGAAACCCACAGAUUUCACACCAUCUCG